GACGGGGGAUGCAAGUGUUAUCCGGAAUCACUGGGCGUAAAGCGUCUGUAGGUGGUCAAAUAAGUCAACUGUUAAAUCUUGAGGCUCAACCUCAAAAAUCGCAGUCGAAACUAUUAGACUAGAGUAUAGUAGGGGUAAAGGGAAUUUCCAGUGGAGCGGUGAAAUGCGUAGAUAUUGGAAAGAACACCGAUGGCGAAGGCACUUUACUGGGCUAUUACUAACAUCAUCAGACGUACGAAAGCUAAGGGAUCGAA
rnacentral:rRNA from 1 species